rnacentral:lncRNA from 1 species
GACUCUCUCCUGAGGAGUUCCAGUGAGUUCUGGCUGAAAAAAGCCUUUGCUCGUAUGUACCUGUGCAGACCCUCCAAUUGUCCUUAUUCUCCAGAGUCAGUUCCAGAUUUAAAGAAGCCAUCCUGGUUUCUAAUUUGAUCCUGGAAUGUCCCACUUUUCCUUAGGACGUCCCUAUUUCAUUGGAUAAAUGUUGGAGGGUAUGGAGUUAUGCGACCUCUGAGCCAAGGAGAUACGUAACUGUACAACCUUUAGAAGACAUUUCAAGGCAGCCCUGUAUAGGGAAGCUGUUAAAUGUUUGCUGUUUUAUAUGUUUUUAUAUACAGUGGUACCUCGGAUUACAGACACUUCAGGUUACAGACUCCGCUAACCCAGAAAUAGUACCUUGGGUUAAGAACUUUACCUCAGGAUGAGUACAGAAAUCAUGCUGUGGCGGCACGGCGGCAGUGGGAGGCCCCAUUAGCUAAAGUGGUACCUCAGGUUAAGAACAGUUUCAGGUUAAGAACGGACCUCCAGAACGAAUUAAAUUCUUAACCCGAGGUACCACUGUAUGUUGGAAGCUGCCCAGAGUGGCUGGGCCACUCUGGGGUAUAAAUAAUAAAAUUGUUGUAGUUGUUGAAUGGGGUAUCCCUAUUUUCAUUGGAGAAAAGUUGGAGGGCAUGUCUGUGUGUAGAUUUUAAUCAACUCAGCAAUUGAUUUCUUUCAUAGUCAUAGCAUAUAAUUGUGAGAUCAAGUUUGGGCUGACGUUAGCAGGUGUUGUUCCCAAGGACCACCUCUUGCUGACACAGCUGCCCCAGGCCCCCUCCAGGCGCCAGGAGGCCAGCACUGCAAUUGCCCAGAAUGCAUUGUGGACAAGUACAGUGGAGGCUGCCUGGCUGGCACCCCUCAAGAGAGCACCGCCACUGCCAUCACUGUGCGUCUCCUCUUGAAGAGCCAUAGCUCAGUAGCAGAACAUAUGCUUUGCAUGCAGAAGCUCCUGGUUCAAUCCCUGGCAUCUUGAUGCAAGACUAUGGGGGGGAACUCUCUACCUGAGAGCUGCUGCUAGUCAGUAUAGACAAUACUCAUCCACACUUAUGCCUAGAAAGCAUAGGACUAAGCAGUUUUGCCUUUGCCCCAUCACUUCCCCCCCGAAAAACCUGCUCUUUAGUGCUGAAUCAGAGCAAACGUCAAUGCAGUUGAUGUUUGCUCCAAUUCAGCGGUAACCCGUGAGUUUUCCAGGGGGAAGUGUGGGUGAGCCCUGACACAGAUAGACCAGUGGUCUGACUUGGCAUAAGGCAGCUUCCCAUUCAUCCAAAGAAUACUUGUGCAAGAAAGUUUAAAGAAACACAUGCUCCAUAGUCAUCUUCUUAAUGCCUAUGAGAAGCUCCCUUUCCAGCUCCUCCUUUGCUGCCGAUCUCCCAAUUUCCCCAGCGCACGCGAGAACCAGGCUCACAGAAGGGUAAACUCUCCUGCCCUUUUGAGUCCGGUCUCUCCCGCAGAUGAGAAUGGGAUGAGUUAAGUGACUGAAAGCCCGAGGCCAGGACGUGCCGCCUGUAAUCAUUUUUUCACUCCAUCAUCUCACCUUGCGAUGCCACGCUGCCUUAUACAGCCACCAGAUGGCUGAUGAAUAAUAUAAGUGACAAGGGCAAAACCUCUCAAAUGCAUUCAGAGGAGAAACUUCGAGAUGCUGAGGAGCUGGCUGGUCCUCUGGCUCAAGACCAGCUGGGGUUUGUUUAUGCCCUUUGACUGAAUCCAGCAAGCGGGCUGCACCAUUGCCUCAAUUAGGCCAAAGUCUAUAGGAAAAGAAGGCUCUCCGUGAACUAACAGGGAUAUCCUGGCCUUGUUUCGUUCCGUCUGUGUCGCCUCCAGUGCCUGCAUCAUCCGUGGCAUCCUGAACUCCCUUGUCUUGUUUUAGAACACAUUUUCUCCCUGCUUCCUUUUGGCCUGCAAAGCUCUGUGCAAGUGUUGAAGUAGGUCUGGCUUGAGAGAGGGAGAGUGUCUCUCCCCAAAAGCUAUCUGAAUGCAGCCGCACUAAACAAAACUGCUUUUUGCAGGGUAUGUAGUUAAUCUGUGGAAUUCAUUGCCACAGGAUGCGAGCAUAAGCAGUUGCUGUUGUUUUCAGAUGUUUUAGACGCAGGAGCAGUUUUCAAAGUUCCUUGAGGGUUUUUCAGGUCAGUGUAUCUGCCAAGGUAUUCUCUGUGUUUGGCCUGACCAUUUUAGGAUUAGUGUUGUUGCCAAAAUCAAUAAUUAACAAGAUCCAAAUGUGUCUGGCUAACAAUGUCAGAUUACAUUUCAGACUAUGCCCUUCCCUCUCUGGUGCCUUGAAAGCUUUAACAUUCUGGUGACCUGAGUCCUUGGUAUGGACAUCAGUGACAUCAGAUUCCCUGGAAAAUUCAUCCCCCAGGGACUCCCUCAACCUGUAAGGAAAGAUAUGGGGUACAGCCCAGCCCAUGUGCUCUCAUUGUGGGUUGAACGCAUGCAAUGUCUCUCCCCCCAAUAGCUGUGCAUUUCAGGGGGAAUAUGGGUUGUGUUGGCAAACUGUCCUUCCAUGCUUCUUCCACCAUUAAAACCCUUUCGAUGGAUGAAUCUCCAGCAUUUUCUGGGUGCAGAUUAAAAACCACUGAAAUAGAUUAAUGGGGACUAUCACAGUCCCCUAUCCACGGUCAGGGGUAGUAAAUGCUUCUGAAUACCAGUUGCUAGGAACCACAGAGGGGUCCUGCUUGCUGGUUUCCCACAGGCAUCUGGGUGGCCGCUGUGAGAGAAGAUCUUGUAUUGAAAUCAACCCACUGGUCAUGCUCCAAUGCUGACCUGGGAUCUUGUCUCCAAUUCUAACAGUGCAGCGGGUUCCUCAUUUUCCUUCCACUCUUGUCUGAGAUUUCUGAUUUCUUUGCCUUAUUCUUAGGCAGCUGCAUGGCAAAGACAGCAGAAUUAUGAUGGUUACAUCUCUCUCAAAGCUAGCCUAAGCCUACUGUCAAACUGGAGCCUGCUCUAUAGCCUGGGACAAUUUUGACACAGGAAUGUCAUCAUUUCCCCACCUGUAUCUAUCCCUGCUCCCUGACUGUGUGCAAAAUCUGCCCAUGUUAGCCAUCCAUUGGUCAGCUGGCUCAGUCACAUGAUUCUCCUGAAGGUCAUAUUACCUCCUGUUGACCAGCUCCCAGUAUGACUGCAUCGUAGCACCUCAUAUUUACCCGUGUUAUCUUCUUUCCGCAAGUGAAACUCCUUUUUUGCAGUUCAGGCGUGUGUGUUUUUUCUGGGAACCCCCGAUGUUUCGUGAACUCAACAGAAGCGCAACUGAAAUGUUAAACUCCUUGGCUGAAGGCUCCCCCACUUACUCUCAAGAAUUAUGUAAACCCAUCCGUGGGUCUCCGAGUGUAAUCAAAAACAGUACUUGCUCCAAACAAACACAAGCCCCACAUCAAGGAUGAAAUGCCGGAUUGCCUCCCCACCCCACCCCCUGCUUCUCUUUUACUUGUGGGUAAAUCGGAUUCCUUUCUAAAAGCAUAAUGCAUCCUUUUGUAUACAAUCAUCUGUGCGCAUGCAACACACCACAGGGGUUGAUAAUGUCCCCGAUAAACCCGGCUGUUUUCUUAAGCGAAGCGAAGCUGUGUGUUUUUUCAAUUGCUUCUGACAAAAAUCAGCAUUUCCUGAUUCUUAGUGGUGUGAUGUUGGUAAGAUACAACUUAUGCGUCCCAGACUUUUCGGUGAGGUCAGAAAUUACUUGUUAUAAAAACCAGGGCUCAAAUGCUCAGGCUUCAGUUCAGAUCACAGUUAUUCAGUUACACACACAGAUUGGUUGUGCUUGUGACAUCUGUAUCCCACCCUGCUUCUGGGUUGCUGGCGGGGAGCGGUGUUUUUAGCAUCGCGACAACCCUGUGAGGUAGAGUAGGUUGAGAAACAGUGGCUUUCCCCAAGGCUGCUAAGGAUUCAUCUACUUUGUUAGGGGUGUGGAACCUUCAGCUGCAUGCAUUUGUGAAAGUGGACCCCAGAAAGAGGAAAAGAGGGCAAGAGUGGGGAGCUGAAAUGGAUGGAGAGAAGGGAAGACGAGGGAGGGAAGCACUCAGUUCAGAGCUCUGGCAGCCUGCUAGGUAGGGAAGAAGAGACAGGGGAAAGGGUUCGAGGAAAAAGAGAGAGGGAGGGAGAAAGGGGUGCAGAAAGAGGGAGAAGAGGAAGGGGAGAGAAGGGUGCAGAAAGAGUAGGGGAAGCAGAGAGAGAGAGAAGUUUGAUUCAGUUCACAAACCUAAUUAGCACUUUCCAAAACAAUCCAUGAACCAAAACUCUGCCAUCCUUUGAAAUUCACCUGUCUCCAGAUUCUGCAGUGCAGUUAUCCAGCCAAGUAACUGUGCAAAAAUGCACAUUUGGUUGUAGAGUGUGCAUUAAAAAAAUGUGUAUCUUAGUAAAAACAACAUACCAAAAAAAUGUUAUAUUAGAAAAAAUUGCUUUGCAAAAAUACUUUGUUUUAUUUCAUAAAAUUUAUAUAUCACUUGAUUGC